CGUCCAAAGUGCAGCAGUGUAUCAGUCCGUGGUCAUCAAAUAUUAAGACCAACUCAAAAAAUCUGGGUGUAAUUUUUAACCAGCACAUGAAUUUUGAACAAAACGUCAAGAUGCUGACUAGGUCAUGUUUUUCCAGCUGAGAAACAUUGCAAAAUUAAGAUAUGUGGUGUCUGCUUCUCAGCUGGAAACAAUUAUCCAAUCUUUUAUUUCAUCCCGUCUAGACUAUUGCAAUGCGCUUUUUACUUGCCUUAGCAAGUCAGCACUGAAUCGACCCCAGUUGGUCCAGAAUGCCGCUGCUAGGCUGCUGACUAGAUCCCGCUGAAGGGAUCAUAUAACCCCCAUGUUGGCCAUGCUUCACUGGCUACCAGUUAAAUUCAGGAUCGAUUCUAAAAUCAUGGUGACGACUUACAAGGCAUUACAUGGUCAGGCUCCUGCAUACAUUAGUGAACUGCUGUCUCCAUACUCCACCGGAGCUGUUGCCACUGCUGAAGACCCAUCAGCCAUUGCAACUAACCAGUCAGCAACUACCUUCUCUUCGGAGCAACCAAUCAAAUAUCUGUGAAAGACUGAGGGAGCUGGGGGGCAGAUACUGUCAAGGAGCUGAACCCUCCCACUACAGAGAUGGAUGUUGAGAAAUGGAGUACUGACACAUGCAAACGGCUUCAAAACAUAGACCUUAUUGACGGCAAAGAGACUUUGUUCUUAUUUUAUACUGUACUGUACUAUUGCACUGUUAAAUCUGAAUAAAUUGAAAUGUUUUUCCCC